UACGGAGGAGGCAAGCGUUAUCCGGAAUUAUUGGGCGUAAAGCGUCCGUAGGUGGCCAUGCAAGUCUGCUGUCAAAGCAUGGAGCUUAACUCCAUAGAGGCAGUGGAAACUGAAUAGCUAGAGUUCGGUAGGGGUAGCGGGAAUUCCCAGUGUAGCGGUGAAAUGCGUAGAGAGUGGGAAGAACAUCGGUGGCGAAAGCGCGCUACUGGGCCGCAACUGACACUGAUGGACGAAAGCUAGGGGAGCGAAAGGG
rnacentral:rRNA from 1 species